UACGAGUGCUCCAAGCGUUAUCCGGAAUCAUUGGGCGUAAAGGGUGUGUAGGUGGUUGUGUUAGUCUUCUGUUAAAUUCUUCGGCUUAACCGGGGGCAUGCAGGGGAAACGGCACAACUAGAGGAUGCGAGAGGUGAACGGAACUCAUGGAGUAGGGGUGAAAUCCGUUGAUAUCAUGGGGAACACCAAAUGCGAAGGCAGUUCACUGGCGCACUCCUGACACUGAGACACGAAAGCGUAGGUAGCGAAUGGG
rnacentral:rRNA from 1 species